UACGGAGGGUGCAAGCGUUAUCCGGACUUACUGGGUUUAAAGGGUGCGUAGGCGGCAACGUAAGUCAGAAGUGAAAUCUCUCGGCUUAACUGAAGAACUGCUUUUGAUACUGCGUAGCUUGAAUAAGGUUGAGGUCAGCGGAAUGUGGCAUGUAGCGGUGAAAUGCUUAGAUAUGCCAUAGAACACCAAUUGCGAAGGCAGCUGGCUAGACCUGUAUUGACGCUGAGGCACGAAAGCGUGGGGAGCGAACAGG
rnacentral:rRNA from 1 species